rnacentral:lncRNA from 1 species
UAUUUCUCUCUAAGGCAACCAUAAACACAGCAGUCACUAAUCCAGAAAUCGAUGUUGGACCGUCGUGCUGGCUCCCGUCGCUGGAGGUCGACGAAUUCCAACACUCUUUACCAGUCCCUUUUUGACCCUUUGAACAUGAAUAUGGAGUUGGAUUCUCCAAAAAUUGCCCCAAACUACACGAAUCUAUGCUUGAACAUUCGAACUUCUCCUUGCCCGAUAUUGAAAUUCGACUGCUGACUCAGUUCGAUUCCAAGGUAUGUUGUUCUCCUUGACCUCUACUAUAUUCCUAUCGUUCAGAUUUUCGAGAUGACGACCCGAGGCCUCAGAACUAGCCUCAACGCCAAAUUGAAUAUGUUCCUUUCUUUCUUUUUUCUUUAUAUUUUUUGCUUCUUUCUUUGAUUUUGUUUCCUUUCUCUCUGUUGCAGGCUUUCACUUCUCUUGAAGUUUUUUUUCUUUUUCUUUUUGUGUUGUUGGGGUGUGUUUGUGUGUGUUGUUGUUGAGGGUGUGGUAAGAGAAGAACAAGUUCAAAGUUUUUAGUUUUCUGGAAAAAAAAAGAACAAUAAGUGAAGAAGAUAAAUUAAAAAAAAAAGUUUUUAAUAGCUUAGAAAAAUUGAGAAAAUCACGUCACUAUAACUAAAAAAAUUAGGUUUUAAAUAAAAAAAAUUUUAAAAUUUUCUUUGAUCAGAUCUUUCAAAAGACUUUUCCUAUAUCUUUCAAAAGACUUUUCCUAAGUUUUUUUUUUUUAUUUUUAAUAAUUUAUAAUUGUUUUGGAUGUAACUUAUAAAAUAAAAUAAUCACAUCAGAUAUGAAAUCCCAAAUCACUCAUGUUGUUGACCAUUAUCAAUUAAUUGAUACAUCAUCAAUUACGAUGAUCAAAUGAAACCUUAAGAGUUAAUGUUCUUAAAAAUGAAUAAGGGUUAAAAUAAUUAAUCAGACAGAUGUUAAAGGAUUAUUUUUUAUAUUAUAUUUUUUUAACAAAGUUGUUGUAGAGC